rnacentral:rRNA from 1 species
GUGUCAGCCGCCGCGGUAAUACGUAGGCAGCGAGCGUUGUUCGGAGUUACUGGGCGUAAAGAGUGCGUAGGCGGUUUCGUAAGUCUGGUGUGAAAUCUCCCGGCUUAACUGGGAGGGUGCGCCGGAAACUGCGGAGCUGGAGUGUGGGAGAGGCAAGCGGAAUUCCUGGUGUAGCGGUGAAAUGCGUAGAUAUCAGGAGGAACACCUGCGGUGUAGACGGCUUGCUGGACCACUACUGACGCUGAGGCACGAAAGCGUGGGGAGCAAACAGGAUUAGAAACCCGCGUAGUCC